AAGACAGCUGGAUGAUAGCCGGGCGUGAAGACUCUGCUUGACUAGCUGAGAGGAGGUGCAUGGCCGUCGUCAGUUCGUACUGUGAAGCAUCCUGUUAAGUCAGGCAACGAGCGAGACCCACGCCAACAGUUGCCAGCAUGUCCUCCGGGAUGAUGGGGACACUGUUGGGACCGCCUCUGCUAAAGAGGAGGAAGGAAUGGGCAACGGUAGGCCAGCAUGCCCCGAAUUAUCCGGGCUACACGCGGGCUACAAUGGUCAGGACAAUGGGUAUCGACACCGAGAGGUGGAGGCAAUCUCCUAAACCUGUCCUUAGUUCGGAUUGUGGGCUGCAACUCGCCCACAUGAAGCUGGAAUCCGUAGUAAUCGCGUUUCAAAAUAGCGCGGUGAAUAUGUCCCUGCUCCUU
rnacentral:rRNA from 1 species